rnacentral:rRNA from 1 species
UACAGAGGGGGCAAGCGUUUAUUCGGAAUUAUUGGGCGUAAAGGGCGCGUAGGCGGCUUUGCAAGUGGCGGGUGAAAUCCCUCGGCUUAACUCGGAACGGUCAAGUGAUACUGUCGGACUAGAGUACAGAAGGGGCAACUGGAAUUCUCGGUGUAGCGGUGAAAUGCGUAGAUAUCGAGAGGAACACCUGCGGCGAAGGCGGGUUGCUGGGCUGAUACUGACGCUGAGGCGCGAAAGCCAGGGGAGCGAACGGG